rnacentral:rRNA from 1 species
GGGGCUUAACACAUGCAAGUCGAGGGGCAUCAGGAAGAAUGCUUGCUUUCUUUGCUGGCGACCGGCGCACGGGUGAGUAACACGUAUCCAACCUGCCCUUUACUCGGGGAUAGCCUUUCGAAAGAAAGAUUAAUACCCGAUGGCAUAAUGAUUCCGCAUGGUUUCAUUAUUAAAGGAUUCCGGUAAAGGAUGGGGAUGCGUUCCAUUAGGUUGUUGGUGAGGUAACGGCUCACCAAGCCUUCGAUGGAUAGGGGUUCUGAGAGGAAGGUCCCCCACAUUGGAACUGAGACACGGUCCAAACUCCUACGGGAGGCAGCAGUGAGGAAUAUUGGUCAAUGGGCGCUAGCCUGAACCAGCCAAGUAGCGUGAAGGAUGAAGGCUCUAUGGGUCGUAAACUUCUUUUAUAUAAGAAUAAAGUGCAGUAUGUAUACUGUUUUGUAUGUAUUAUAUGAAUAAGGAUCGGCUAACUCCGUGCCAGCAGCCGCGGUAAUACGGAGGAUCCGAGCGUUAUCCGGAUUUAUUGGGUUUAAAGGGAGCGUAGGUGGACUGGUAAGUCAGUUGUGAAAGUUUGCGGCUCAACCGUAAAAUUGCAGUUGAUACUGUCAGUCUUGAGUACAGUAGAGGUGGGCGGAAUUCGUGGUGUAGCGGUGAAAUGCUUAGAUAUCACGAAGAACUCCGAUUGCGAAGGCAGCUCACUGGACUGCAACUGACACUGAUGCUCGAAAGUGUGGGUAUCAAACAGGAUUAGAUACCCUGGUAGUCCACACAGUAAACGAUGAAUACUCGCUGUUUGCGAUAUACAGUAAGCGGCCAAGCGAAAGCAUUAAGUAUUCCACCUGGGGAGUACGCCGGCAACGGUGAAACUCAAAGGAAUUGACGGGGGCCCGCACAAGCGGAGGAACAUGUGGUUUAAUUCGAUGAUACGCGAGGAACCUUACCCGGGCUUAAAUUGCAGUGGAAUGAUGUGGAAACAUGUCAGUGAGCAAUCACCGCUGUGAAGGUGCUGCAUGGUUGUCGUCAGCUCGUGCCGUGAGGUGUCGGCUUAAGUGCCAUAACGAGCGCAACCCUUAUCUUUAGUUACUAACAGGUUAUGCUGAGGACUCUAGAGAGACUGCCGUCGUAAGAUGUGAGGAAGGUGGGGAUGACGUCAAAUCAGCACGGCCCUUACGUCCGGGGCUACACACGUGUUACAAUGGGGGGUACAGAAGGCAGCUAGCGGGUGACCGUAUGCUAAUCCCAAAAGCCUCUCUCAGUUCGGAUCGAAGUCUGCAACCCGACUUCGUGAAGCUGGAUUCGCUAGUAAUCGCGCAUCAGCCACGGCGCGGUGAAUACGUUCCCGGGCCUUGUACACACCGCCCGUCAAGCCAUGGGAGCCGGGGGUACCUGAAGUACGUAACCGCAAGGAUCGUCCUAGGGUAAAACUGG